rnacentral:rRNA from 1 species
UACAGAGACCCCAAACAUUGUCCGGAUUUAUUGGGCGUAAAGGGUCCGCAGGCGGUUACGUGCGUCACGAGUUAAAUUCCAGGGCUUAACCCUGGACCUGCUUAUGAUACGACGUGACUAGAGACUGGGAGAGGUGAGCGGAAUUACCGGAGUAGUAGUAAAAUGCGUUAAUAUCGGUAAGAACACCAAAUGCGAAGGCAGCUCACUGGAACAGUUCUGACGCUCAGGGACGAAAGCGUGGGGAGCGAAAGGG